UACGGGGGGGGCAAGCGUUGUUCGGAAUUACUGGGCGUAAAGGGUUUGUAGGUGGCUUGUUAAGUCAGACGUGAAAUCCCUCAGCUUAACUGGGGAACUGCGUCUGAUACUGGCGAGCUUGAGUGCAGGAGAGGAACGCGGAAUUCCAGGUGUAGCGGUGAAAUGCGUAGAUAUCUGGAGGAACACCGGUGGCGAAGGCGGCGUCCUGGACUGCAACUGACACUGAGAAACGAAAGCCAGGGUAGCAAACGGG
rnacentral:rRNA from 1 species